AACCGGAUUAGAUACCCUGGUAGUCCACGCUGUAAACGAUGAGUGCUAGGUGUUCGGGGGUUUCGAUACCCCUGGGUGCCGAAGUUAACGCAUUAAGCACUCCGCCUGGGGAGUACGGUCGCAAGACUGAAACUCAAAGGAAUUGACGGGGACCCGCACAAGCAGUGGAGUAUGUGGUUUAAUUCGAAGCAACGCGAAGAACCUUACCAGGUCUUGACAUCGGCAUGACCGGCUUAGAGAUAAGCCUUUCCUUCGGGACAUGCCAGACAGGUGGUGCAUGGUUGUCGUCAGCUCGUGUCGUGAGAUGUUGGGUUAAGUCCCGCAACGAGCGCAACCCUUGACUUUAGUUGCCAGCAUUUCGGAUGGGCACUCUAGAGUGACUGCCGGUGACAAACCGGAGGAAGGCGGGGAUGACGUCAAAUCAUCAUGCCCCUUAUGACCUGGGCUACACACGUACUACAAUGGCCGGUACAGAGGGUCGCGAAGCCGCGAGGUGGAGCCAAUCCCAGAAAGCCGGUCUCAGUUCGGAUUGCAGGCUGCAACUCGCCUGCAUGAAGUCGGAAUGCUAGAAUCGCGAUCAGCAU
rnacentral:rRNA from 1 species